GCUGGGUGUGGUGGCGGACGCCUGUAAUUCCAGCUACUCAGGAAGCUGUGGCAGAAGAAUCGCUUGAACCCAGGAGGUGGAAGUUGCAGUGAGUGGAGAUCACGCCACUGCACUCCAGCCUGGGUGACACAGCGAGACUCUGUCUCAA
rfam:Homo sapiens chromosome 3, GRCh38 reference primary assembly.